GAAUGCUGACAUAAGUAACGAUAAAGCGGGUGAAAAGCCCGCUCGCCGGAAGACCAAGGGUUCCUGUCCAACGUUAAUCGGGGCAGGGUGAGUCGACCCCUAAGGCGAGGCCGAAAGGCGUAGUCGAUGGGAAACAGGUUAAUAUUCCUGUACUUGGUGUUACUGCGAAGGGGGGACGGAGAAGGCUAUGUUGGCCGGGCGACGGUUGUCCCGGUUUAAGCGUGUAGGCUGGUUUUCCAGGCAAAUCCGGAAAAUCAAGGCUGAGGCGUGAUGACGAGGCACUACGGUGCUGAAGCGACAAAUGCCCUGCUUCCAGGAAAAGCCUCUAAGCAUCAGGUAACAUCAAAUCGUACCCCAAACCGACACAGGUGGUCAGGUAGAGAAUACCAAGGCGCUUGAGAGAACUCGGGUGAAGGAACUAGGCAAAAUGGUGCCGUAACUUCGGGAGAAGGCACGCUGAUAUGUAGGUGAAGCGACUUGCUCGUGGAGCUGAAAUCAGUCGAAGAUACCAGCUGGCUGCAACUGUUUAUUAAAAACACAGCACUGUGCAAACACGAAAGUGGACGUAUACGGUGUGACGCCUGCCCGGUGCCGGAAGGUUAAUUGAUGGGGUUAGCGGUAACGCGAAGCUCUUGAUCGAAGCCCCGGUAAACGGCGGCCGUAACUAUAACGGUCCUAAGGUAGCGAAAUUCCUUGUCGGGUAAGUUCCGACCUGCACGAAUGGCGUAAUGAUGGCCAGGCUGUCUCCACCCGAGACUCAGUGAAAUUGAACUCGCUGUGAAGAUGCAGUGUACCCGCGGCAAGACGGAAAGACCCCGUGAACCUUUACUAUAGCUUGACACUGAACAUUGAGCCUUGAUGUGUAGGAUAGGUGGGAGGCUUUGAAGUGUGGACGCCAGUCUGCAUGGAGCCGACCUUGAAAUACCACCCUUUAAUGUUUGAUGUUCUAACGUGGGCCCCUUACCGGGGUUGCGGACAGUGUCUGGUGGGUAGUUUGACUGGGGCGGUCUCCUCCUAAAGAGUAACGGAGGAGCACGAAGGUUGGCUAAUCCUGGUCGGACAUCAGGAGGUUAGUGCAAUGGCAUAAGCCAGCUUGACUGCGAGCGUGACGGCGCGAGCAGGUGCGAAAGCAGGUCAUAGUGAUCCGGUGGUUCUGAAUGGAAGGGCCAUCGCUCAACGGAUAAAAGGUACUCCGGGGAUAACAGGCUGAUACCGCCCAAGAGUUCAUAUCGACGGCGGUGUUUGGCACCUCGAUGUCGGCUCAUCACAUCCUGGGGCUGAAGUAGGUCCCAAGGGUAUGGCUGUUCGCCAUUUAAAGUGGUACGCGAGCUGGGUUUAGAACGUCGUGAGACAGUUCGGUCCCUAUCUGCCGUGGGCGCUGGAGAACUGAGGGGGGCUGCUCCUAGUACGAGAGGACCGGAGUGGACGCAU
rnacentral:rRNA from 1 species